rnacentral:rRNA from 1 species
AUUGAACGCUGGCGGCAUGCUUUACACAUGCAAGUCGAACGGCAGCGCGGGCUUCGGCCUGGCGGCGAGUGGCGAACGGGUGAGUAAUGCAUCGGAACGUGCCCAGUAGUGGGGGAUAGCCCGGCGAAAGCCGGAUUAAUACCGCAUACGACCUGAGGGUGAAAGCGGGGGACCGAAAGGCCUCGCGCUAUUGGAGCGGCCGAUGUCGGAGUAGCUAGUUGGUGGGGUAAAGGCUUACCAAGGCGACGAUCCGUAGCUGGUCUGCGAGGACGACCAGCCACACUGGGACUGAGACACGGCCCAGACUCCUACGGGAGGCAGCAGUGGGGAAUUUUGGACAAUGGGGGCAACCCUGAUCCAGCCAUGCCGCGUGCGGGAAGAAGGCCUUCGGGUUGUAAACCGCUUUUGUUCGGGAAGAAAUCCUCUGGGCUAAUACCCCGGGGGGAUGACGGUACCGGAAGAAUAGGCACCGGCUAACUACGUG